UACGUAGGGUGCAAGCGUUAAUCGGAAUUACUGGGCGUAAAGCGUGCGCAGGCGGUUAUGUAAGACAGUUGUGAAAUCCCCGGGCUCAACCUGGGAACUGCAUCUGUGACUGCAUAGCUAGAGUACGGUAGAGGGGGAUGGAAUUCCGCGUGUAGCAGUGAAAUGCGUAAAUAUGCGGAGGAACACCGAUGGCGAAGGCAAUCCCCUGGACCUGUACUGACGCUCAUGCACGAAAGCGUGGGGAGCAAACAGG
rnacentral:rRNA from 1 species